GGAAGUAAAGUCGUAACAAGGUUUCCGUAGGUGAACCUGCGGAAGGAUCAUUAACAAAGUUAAUACACUAAUAACUAACUGAACUUGAUAGUGGGUUAAUCCUACUAUUCAAUUGAACUAUUCUUGAUAGAACAAUAAAUCAAUUAUGGUUGAUAAAACUUUAAAUUUUCAACGAUGGAUGUCUUGGCUCCC
rnacentral:misc_RNA from 1 species